rnacentral:rRNA from 1 species
GAUGAACGCUGACAGGAUGCUUAACACAUGCAAGUCUUUGGCGAAGCUGUGCUCGCACAGCCUAGCCAAGGCGGACGGGUGAGUAACGCGUAAGGAACUUGCCCUGCAGUCAGGGAUAACAGACGGAAACGACUGAUAAGACCUGGUAAAGUCAGGCGGACUCAUGUCCAGCCUGAUGAAAAGAGAUGCUGCAGGAGAGCCUUGCGUCCUAUUAGCUUGUUGGUGGGGUAACGGCCCACCAAGGCGAUGAUAGGUAGCCGGCCUGAGAGGGUGGACGGCCACAAGGGGACUGAGAUACGGCCCUUACUCCUACGGGAGGCAGCAGUGGGGAAUAUUGGACAAUGGGGGCAACCCUGAUCCAGCAAUUCUGUGUGCACGAUGAAGGUUUUCGGAUUGUAAAGUGCUUUCAGCAGGGAAGAAAAAAAUGACGGUACCUGCAGAAGAAGCGACGGCUAAAUACGUG